GUAGGUAGCAGCGGUAUGGAGAUACAGUAGGUAGCAGCGGUAUGGAGAUACAGUAGGUAGCAGCAGUAGGGUAGAAGCGGUAGGUAGCAGCAGCAGUAGGUAGCAGCAGUAGGGUAGAAGCAGUAGUAGGUAGCAGCGGUAGUUAGCAUUAGUAGGUAGCAGCGGUAGGUAGCAGCGGUAGUUAGCAGCGGUAGGUAGCAGCAGUAGGUAGCAGCAGCAGUAGGUAGCAGCAGUAGGGUAGAGGCAGUAGUAGUUAGCAGCGGUAGUUAGCAGUAGUAGGUAGCAGCAGCAGUAGGUAGCAGCAGUAGGGUAGAAGCAGUAGUAGUUAGCAGCAGUAGGUAGCAGCGGUAGGUAGCAGCGGUAGUUAGCAGCGGUAGGUAGCAGCAGUAGGUAGCAGCAACAGUAGGUAGCAGCAGUAGGGUAGAGGCAGUAGUAGUUAGCAGCGGUAGUUAGCAGUAGUAGGUAGCAGCAGCAGUAGGUAGCAGCAGUAGGGUAGAAGCAGUAGUAGUUAGCAGCAGUAGGUAGCAGCAGUAGGUAGCAGCGGCAGGUAGCAGCGGUAGAGUAGCAGCGGUAGGGUAGCAGCAGUAGGUAGCAGCGGC
rnacentral:lncRNA from 1 species